AUUGAAACACCGGUUCCCGUAAGAUCGCCGAAGUUAAGCAACGUCUAGUCUGGUCAGUACUUAGAUGGGUGACUGCUUGGGAAUACCAGGUGCUGUAAG